GCCUGGGUGGCGGAAAAGGCAGACGCAAGGGACUUAAAAUCCCUCGGGGAUUUUCCCCAUGCGGGUUCGAUUCCCGCCCCAGGCACUA
rnacentral:tRNA from 1 species